UUCGGAAAAAAUAAGUGCUCAAGUGAAGUUCUGUCGUGAAACUGAAAUUAAUUGAAGAAAAGUUGUUUCUAAUAUAAAGUGCUAAAUUUUCACAUUAGUUGUUACACACACAUACCAUGUAUAUAUAUUGUUCAACGGCAAUGCAAAUGUGUGCAGAAACAGUUGGAAAGGCAAACCUGAGGAGCUAUAACAUGGCACGAAGGCUGAAAUAAUUGCUAGUACGGGUUUCUCAAGCAUUUCUGCUCUGAACAAAGAAAAUGAAAUCAGCUCCUCGUCGUCAUCUCAGCGUGGGCACGUCAGGCAUUUUCACAUAACGGCGAAAUGGGGCCACACAAAACCAGACUUGGCGGUGCGAAAACCCAACCAAGUUUUUCAUCUUUGGCUAGAAAGUUGCACUGUAGGCAGGCUGAGGCAGAUGCCAGGCGUUUGAAUUGCUAGCCGGAGUGUGCGGAGUGUGUGUGUUGUCCUGGACUUGAGGAGUUUGGAUAGGAAGCCAGGUAUAAAACGCAGCGAAGACAGCUUGUUCUCUUGUUAUACUUGGGCGUUGAAAGUUGAUACGCGAUCGAUAGAUGUUAUAACUCGAAUGCAAUGCGUGCGAAAGGGCAUUACAACAGCUGAAAUAUGCCGUUGGUGUGGCCCCGUUAGCCGUGUGGCGAGAGUAUAUCUGAACUCAGCGACCUGUGUGUGUCGCUACCUACACACAGGGGUACUAAACAUCGUUUUUAUCAGAUUGAUUGCGUGGAUUGAAUUUAUAGGAACCUGUAUCGACUUCUCUGCUCUACUAAGACUUGUUCAAAACAAAGGCGCACAAUUACCUAUACGUUUAUAUACGGCCUUCUAUUAUUUACCUAACAUCAUCGAACCGUUAUCAAUACCGAUCCAAACAGAUAUAAACACUACUGACAUCGAUCGAUAAAGAUAUAUAUCUCGUAUCUGGAGUAGCAACUGAACGAGCCAAUCGUUAGUUCGUUUUAUGCAGCACAAUUUACAAACUAUAUUCUUGUUAUUUACUUAUUUUUUUGUUGUAAACAUAAACAUUUGCUAGUACACGACAUGUGCGACUUAAGUUCUUAAAUACCUGAAACUGUUAAACAAAAAGAAAAAAAACAAAGAAAAUAUUCUGUUUUUGUACACAACCCAAGAUUUAAGAAAAUUUGUCCAUUUAUUGUUGUAAAUAUACUUGUCCAUACCAGUUAUAGAUAAUGAAUGAAGAAUAUAAGAAAAAAAGAAUGAGCUCAUCAAUACAGAAAAGAAGCUACAAACAAAAAAGAAUAAAAGAAAUCUAAGAAGACCAAUAAAUUUCGAAACAAUUGUUCGCCAUAUUUUUAUUUUAAGCUAAAAUUCUACACAAAUUUCAGUCUUAUCAUCGUACAAAUGGAGGAAGGGCCACUCUAAAUAUCCCAUACAGGUUUAUUUACACGAAAAUUAUGCGUAUAAAAGUCUAUGAAAUUUCUAAGGUUUGAAGUUAAGGUAAACAUCGACAACAUAUAUAUAUAUAUAUAUAUAUAAAAGAGACAUUCCCUAUAAAUAUGUUAAAAUUUUUCUCUAUACGCAUUGCUUGCGAUCAUAUAAGGGAAAUAUAUGCGAAUUUGAAAAUUAUAAAUUAAGCAGGGCUUUGGUAAAUGCUAAAAUAUGCGGUAAACUGCAAAAACGGUUAAAUAUUCAAAUUUGAGACACUUCAUCAAUGGCCGUAUUAAUACAAUUUUACAGACCCAACAUUACACAAUAUUCUACAAUUUAUUCCACUUUUCUGAUUUACUUAAGAAUUUAAGUUAAGUGUCUUCAAUUUGUCUUUAAUUUUUUUUUUUUAGUUGUCUUUACUAUCAAACUAUCUUAACUAAAUAUCAAACACAGCCUGAACACAUAAAAUUUACUUCAAAUACCAAGCGGAAACUAAACAACAAGGAUUAAACACUUCCAAUCCCCAAAAGCAAUUUUUCUUCCACAACUUAUCAACAUCGGAAGUUAACUUCAAUGACAAAAGUAUCCUUUAAUGGUCAGAAUUGUCCAGCAUAAAAUGGAACAUCCCAUCCGAUUAUCUGUUUACAUUUCAACCUGGAAAUUUCCAUCAAAGAAUUAGUACAUUUUCAAACUCGUCUCAAAUUGCACCAUCUGAAACAAUGGAAACUUCGUCAGCCCAGGCAUAAAUCUACCUCAAUGCACCACAUUCAAUUCAAGCAAAUACUUCUCAAAUAUUAAUGUGCCAACCAAGUAUACAUCCACAAAAUUCGUCUGCUUCUCAACUUCUCCAUCUACAAGCAUCUCAAUAUCGUCUACUUCCCCAACUGCUCCAUCUACAAGCAACUCAAUCUUUUACUUCCUCAACUGCUCCUCCAUCUACAAGCAACUCAACACAGCUGACACCUUUAAAAUUUAUCAGACACUAUUUUAAGUUCGAUUUUCAACAAUUUCAAAAUAUUUUUUCAACGUUCUUUGUCGUUCGACAAAUUUUUACUAUUUAUAUAUAUCUGAGCCGUGAUUACAACCAAAUAUUAAAUUAAAUUUGUCAAACACAUUACGAAACGUUCUACUGACACCACGUUGUCUUAAACAUCCUUAUAAAACUGCGUCCAAUACAAAUUAUAAAUUAUUAAGCAUACGAAAAAGUGAAAACAGAAAUUUCCCUGCGAUUACAAAAAGAGCGUAAAAACACACGAAAACUGCGAAGAAUUUAAGAAAGUGGAGUGUAUGGUUAAGAGUGUGAAAACAUAGAAAUUUCCCUAAUAGGUAGGUCAUACACAAACCCCGAUUACAACCCAAAUUUAAAACAUACAAGAGCGUAAAAACACACGAAAACUGCGAUGAAUUUAAGAAAGUGGAAUGUUUAGUUAAGAGUGUGAAAACAUAGAAAUUUCCCUAAUAGGUAGGACAUACACAAACUGCGAUGAAUUUGAGAGAAUGGAGUAUUCGGUUAAGAGUGUGAGGACAUAGAAAUUUCCUUUUUAGGUAGGACAUAAACAAACCCCGAUUACAACCCAAAUUUAAAACAUACAAGAGCGUAAAAACACACGAAAACUGCGAUGAAUUUAUGAAAGUGGAGUGUUUGGUUAAGAGUGUGAAGACAUAGAAAUUUCCCUAAUAGGUAGGACAUACACAAACUGCGAAGAAUUUGAAGAAAGUGGAGUGUUUGGUUAAGAGUGUGAAAACAUAGAAAUUUCCCUAAUAGGUAGGUCAUACACAAACCCCGAUUACAACCCAAAUUUAAAACAUACAAGAGCGUUAAAACGUACACGAAAACUGCGAUGAAUUUGAGAGAAUGGAGUGUUUGGUUAAGAGUGUGAAGACAGAAAUUUCCCUAAUAGGUAGGUCAUACACAAACCCCGAUUACAACCCAAAUUUAAAACAUACAAGAGCGUUAAUUUAAGAGAAUGGAGUGUUUGGUUAAGAGUGUGAAGACAUAGAAAUUUCCCUAAUAGGUAGGUCAUACACAAACCCCGAUUACAACCCAAAUUUAAAACAUACAAGAGCGUAAAAACACACGAAAACUGCGAUGAAUUUGAAGAAAGUGGAGUGUUUGGUUAAGAGUGUGAAGACAUAGAAAUUUCCCUAAUAGGUAGGACAUACACAAACUGCGAUGAAUUUAAGAAAGUGGAGUGUUUGGUUAAGUGUGUGAAGACAUAGAAAUUUCCUUUUUAGGUAGGACAUACACAAAUUGCGAUUACAACCCAAAUUUAAAACAUACAAGAGCGUAAAAAGACA
rnacentral:sRNA from 1 species